rnacentral:tRNA from 1 species
GCGCCCGUAGCUCAGUUGGAUAGAGCGCAGGAUUCCUAAUCCUGAGGCCAUAGGUUCGAUCCCUAUCGGGCGCA